GAGUUUGAUCAUGGCUCAGGACGAACGCUGGCGGCGUGCUUAACACAUGCAAGUCGAACGGAAUAAGAAACUUGCUUCUUAUUUAGUGGCGGNCGGAAAAAAAAAAAGUGGGCAACCUGCCUUAUGGAGGGGGAUAACACAAAGAAAUUUGUGCUAAUACCGCAUAACACUAAUGCUUAACAUGGAGAAUUAGUCAAAGAUUUAUCGCCAUAAGAUGGGCCCGCGGCGCAUUAGCUAGUUGGUGAGGUAACGGCUCACCAAGGCGACGAUGCGUAGCCGACCUGAGAGGGUGAUCGGCCACAUUGGGACUGAGACACGGCCCAGACUCCUACGGGAGGCAGCAGUGGGGAAUAUUGCACAAUGGGGGAAACCCUGAUGCAGCAACGCCGCGUGAGCGAUGAAGGCGGUCGGGUUGUAAAGCUCUGUCUUCAGGGACGAUAAUGACGGGACCUGAGGAGGAAGCCACGGCUAACUACGUGCCAGCAGCCGCGGUAAAAGG
rnacentral:rRNA from 1 species